rnacentral:rRNA from 1 species
UACAGAGGGUGCAAGCGUUGUUCGGAAUCAUUGGGCGUAAAGCGUGCGUAGGCGGUCCGCGAAGUCUGAUGUGAAAGCCCCGGGCUCAACCUGGGAACUGCAUUGGAAACUAACGGGCUCGAGUGUGGCAGAGGGGGGUGGAAUUCCACGUGUAGCAGUGAAAUGCGUAGAGAUGUGGAGGAACACCGAUGGCGAAGGCAGCCCCCUGGGCUAACACUGACGCUCAGGCACGAAAGCGUGGGGAGCAAACAGG